rnacentral:rRNA from 1 species
AGUGAACGCUGGCGGCGUGCCUAAUACAUGCAAGUCGAACGAAAUGGCGCACGGGCGAGUAAUAUAUAGCUAAUCAGCUGUACACAGAGGAACAACAGUUGGAAACGACUGCUAAUACCUCCUAGUGUAGGAUGAGACUAUAUCGUAUCAGCUAGUUGGUAAGGUAAUGGCUGACCAAGGCGAUGACGCGUAACUGGUCAGAGAGGAUGAUCAGUCGCAUUGGAACGGAGGCACGGUUGGAACUCCUACGGGAGUGAGCAGUAGGGAAUAUUACGCAAUGGGGGAGACUCUGACGGGGCAACGCCGCGUGGAGGAUUACAAUUGGCGGGGCGUGAGCUCCUGUUAUCAGGAAAGCGUUACCUGAUGAAGAAGCACCGGCUAACUUCGUGCCAGCAGCCGCGGUAAUAC